rnacentral:lncRNA from 1 species
UUCUAGCUAUUUGUCGGAGUCAAACCUCUGCAUUGCAUCCAUGUAAGAGAUUGGAUCCUCAUUGUUCUUGUCCAGUUCAACAGGAUCCCCAUCUCGGAUCAAAAAAUCAUAGUAUCUAUCUGAUGGACGUGAUACUCCAUUGGAUCUCCUUAAUAGUGCAUCAUUAACAGAUUCUGGAUUCAACUUAGUCAAAUUGAAUUCUGUGGAUUCACUAGAUUGUAUCGGUCCUUCUACUCAUUGAACUUCAUCA